AGCAGCCGCGGUAAUUCCAGCUCCAAUAGCGUAUAUUAAAGUUGUUGCAGUUAAAAAGCUCGUAGUUGAAUUUCGGGAUUGACGUGAUGGUCAUGCCUUAAGGGGUAUGAACUGUUACUGUUGAUUUCUCACCUUCUGGAGAAACUUGAUGUCCUUUAUUGGGUGUCUUGCGGAUCCAGGACCUUUACCUUGAAAAAAUUAGAGUGUUUAAAGCAGGCAUUUUUGCUCGAAUACAUUAGCAUGGAAUAAUAGAAUAGGACGGCAUGGUUCUAUUUUGUUGGUUUCUAGGAUCACCGUAAUGAUUAAUAGGGAUAGUUGGGGGCAUUAGUAUUCAAUUGUCAGAGGUGAAAUUCUUGGAUUUAUUGAAGACUAACUACUGCGAAAGCAUUUGCCAAGGAUGUUUUCAUUAAUCAAGAACGAAAGUUAGGGGAUCGAAGACGAUCAGAUACCGUCGUAGUCUUAACCAUAAACUAUGCCGACUAGGAAUCAGACGAUGUUAAUUUUUUAAUGACUCGUUUGGCACCUUACGG
rnacentral:rRNA from 1 species